AAGUUCCCCGUUUGGAAAAGGUGAUGAGUGCGAGGACCACCAGAUCGGCAAGAGAUUCCCCGUGGGUGCUGUGUGGACCAGCCCUAACUCGGGCUGCAAGCAGAGCCACUGCAUCAAGGAGAACGGUACUCUUUACAUCGACCGCUUCCAGUGCCCGUCGGUCAGGAAGCGGGUGGAUUACAAGAAGCUGAAGGCGGACAAUCUGUUCUGCAGGCUGGCCUGGGUAGACCGCAGGAAGGCGUUUCCGGACUGCUGUCCCCGCCUUGUGUGUAAACGCUACGUUAAGGGCAAGCUGGUCGCUCUCCCUGAGGACGAGUAUCCUUUGCUCUGAAUGCAGUCCAUUGCUUGCGGAAAACGCAUGGUAAACAUGA